CAGGCCUCUCUGAGGACGCAGGAGGCAGGGGUUGCCGUGGGGGAGGAGCACCCUGCAGAUGGCGCCCUGACUCUGGCAAGGAAGGGGCUCCAGGGUCACAUGGAGGUCAAAGGAGAGCGGGGCAUGGCGAGGGCUGCUCACACAGGGUCCUGGCCACCCACGGGAACUAACUGAAAGAGCAGGGGGCAUUGAGGCCCUGAAGACACAGGGAGAACGCAGGCCACCUGGGGGGAGAGGGACGUUUCCUCUCAUGCAGUCAUCAACAAACUUUAACUGAGGGACACAAGGGAAUCUCAGAGAUUUAAGGAGUAAGUGCAUGAAAAGAAAGAAGGAAGGAGAGAGGACAGAGUCCCUGCACUGUCGGAACUCUCCUUGAAUAUAAGAUGACGGCUCAGAUGAAAAAAAUACCUACAAUGCAGAAUCAUGCAGGAGGUGCUAUAAAACUCUCCCAAAAUGAAGAAAAGAGAAAAAUCUUGCUUCGAGUCCACCUUGACAGCCCCAGCCCCGCACCCAGGGCCUGGCACACAAACAGCAAGCCGGGCCUCGGUGGAGUAGGGUGCACCUGGGGCUGCAGGGCAGGGGGACCUGGACAGGUCUCAGAGGGGGCUGCUGAGAGGAGGGGAGGGGCUCGGUGGAAGGGUCAGUGGCCUGGCCCGGAAACCAUCCCGGAGGAGUUCCUGGGGCCGGAAGUCUGCAGAGCUGUCCCCAGGAGGCCACUGCAGGGGCCCCUUGCAGAUUCGUAGGUGGAAGCCUUCACCCCUGCCUGGUACCUCAGAAUGUGACCUAUUUUGGCGCAGGGCCUUUCCAGAGGCUCCUUAAAACAUGGAUUGGGGACACUAAUGCCCAUAUCACUGGCUGCUAUGAUGAUCCCAUCAGAUAAACACUGUCAUCCCUGUUGCUCAGUGACAGCGCUGGUACAACUCCAGGUUUCUUACAACCACCUUUCAAACAUGGCCACUGGCAAUGACACAUAGCCUCCUGGAAAGCUGACCAGAUUGACUUCCACCCUCUGUGCUACUGACAUCAGAGGCACCGUGGGCAGAUCUGAACGUUAUCGAAGCACCGUAUUCUGGAACUUCCUGCCAAAUUUGCCUAUGGCACAUGGCUGAUUAUUUCAAGGUUGUCGUCUCUUUCCCCUCUGGCUCCAGGCCAACUCCUGUACUCCCUAAACCGUGUGGCUGCCGACAGCAUGCAGAUCUGACAUCUGUCAGUCAAGCUUUGAGACAGAGAGCCAGCCAGUACUCUUCGCCUCCCACAUCCAAGUCCCUGGGGAAGAAAUUCCACCAGGCCUGCUCAUCCACAUGAAGUGCCUAGCACCAUGCCUGACAGUGAGAAGCAUGCGGCAGUGUCAGCUGGUCUUAAUACUGGAAGUGGUGAUAGGAUUUUUUAAUAUCCAUAAUAAUUACUAGGGCCUCUGUGUCGGUGUCUGCACAGCUCUGUUUUGUGGAUGACAGUGUUCUUGUGUGGAAUCAGCGGAUACUUAACAGCCACCUGGGCCUCUGUGGCCAAGCCCACUUCAGGCUUCAGAAGCUGGAACAACCAUAGCCAUAGGCAGCUAAAUAGGCUAACUCCCCACAACCUACCAGCUCCAUUUGGACAGCAUAAAUCCUGCUUGACAGCCCCCAGCUCUGAGCCCAUGACUAAGAAAUUCUCUUUUAAGUAGAAGAUAACAUGGUUGGACAGUGACUACCAUUUGCAAACAAAAAUUCGAAAGAAAAUGGGUGCCCCGAGAAGGCUGCGCCAGGAAGCACAGGAGCAGGGAGGGAGAGAAACCCUUCCAGAUCACACCCGCAAGGAUCACUCCUCCAACCAGACCCCACCUCCUAACAGCAAGGCAGCUGUGCUGCCCAUGUGGCUGAGUCACCUUCCAGAACCCCCACCUAUGAGUGCAUGAGGCCUCUGGGGGACAUUCUUGGUCUAAAUCACAAUAAUCUUCAGUACUGAAACACACACACACAAAACAAAGGGCUAGAGGUGUGACUCAGUAUUCCCUGGCUUUAAUCUCCAGUGCUGUAAAUAAAUAAGUAAAUUUUAAAAACAGAAAAUAAUAAGUAAAAUGAGGAUGUGGAGAAAUCAGAACCCUUGUGGCAGGUAGGAAUGUAAAAAUUGUACAACCGCUAUGGAAAACAGUAUGAGGGUUCCUCAGAAAUGUAAAGUAGAAUUACCGUAUUACCCAGCAACACUACUUGUAGAUAUAUACCCAAAAGAAUUGUUUGUUUAUUUUUUUACUGGGGAUCAAACUCUGGUCCUUGCACCUGCAAGGCAGGCAGCGGAACCACUGAGCUAAAUCCCCAGCCCUAUACCCAAAAGAAUUGAAGGUAGGAUCUCCAAGGAAUAUGGGUGUAUUCAUGUUCAUAGCACCAUUGAUUAACAUAAGCCAAAAGAUGGAAGCAAUCACCAAAUGUCACUGACAGCUAAAUGGAUAAGCAAAAUACAAUGCAUGCAUACAAUGGCAUAUUAUUGUAUCAGUCUGCUCAGGCUCCCAUAAUAAAACACUAUAAAC
ensembl:lncRNA